rnacentral:rRNA from 1 species
UAGUCCACGCCGUAAACGUUGGAUACUAAGUGUCGGAGUUAUUCGGUGCUGAAGUUAACACAUUAAGUAUCCCACCUGAGUAGUACAGUCGCAAGGCUGAAACUCAAAGGAAUUGACGGGCACCCGCACAAGCGGUGGAGCAUGCUGUUUAAUUCGAAGAUACGCGAAGAACCUUACCUGGGCUUGACAUCCCGCGGACCGUUCUAGAAAUAGAAUUUUCCCUUCGGGGACUGCGGUGAC